rnacentral:rRNA from 1 species
UACGAAGGGGGCUAGCGUUGUUCGGAAUCACUGGGCGUAAAGCGCAUGUAGGUGGAUCUGUAAGUCAGAGGUGAAAUCCCGGAGCUCAACUUCGGAAUUGCCUUUGAAACUGCAGAUCUGGAGACUCGGAGGGGGUGGCGGAAUUCCUAAUGUAGGGGUGAAAUCCGUAGAUAUUAGGAGGAACACCAGUGGCGAAGGCGGCCACCUGGACGAGUACUGACACUGAGAUGCGAAAGCGUGGGGAUCAAACAGG